rnacentral:rRNA from 1 species
UACGUAGGGGGCAAGCGUUGUCCGGAUUUAUUGGGCGUAAAGAGCGUGUAGGCGGCCAGAUAGGUCUGUUGUGAAAACUCGAGGCUCAACCUCGAGACGCCGAUGGAAACCAUUUGGCUAGAGUCCGGAAGAGGAGAGUGGAAUUCCUGGUGUAGCGGUGAAAUGCGCAGAUAUCAGGAGGAACACCGAUGGCGAAGGCAGGUCUCUGGGCAUUAACUGACGCUGAGGAGCGAAAGCAUGGGGAGCGAACAGG